rnacentral:rRNA from 1 species
UUUGUGGAGGGUUCGAUUCUGGCUCAGGAUGAACGCUGGCGGCGUGCUUAACACAUGCAAGUCGAACGGGAUCCAUCAGGCUUUGCUUGGUGGUGAGAGUGGCGAACGGGUGAGUAAUGCGUGACCGACCUGCCCCAUACACCGGAAUAGCUCCUGGAAACGGGUGGUAAUGCCGGAUGCUCCAGUUGAUCGCAUGGUCUUCUGGGAAAGCUUUCGCGGUAUGGGAUGGGGUCGCGUCCUAUCAGCUUGACGGCGGGGUAACGGCCCACCGUGGCUUCGACGGGUAGCCGGCCUGAGAGGGCGACCGGCCACAUUGGGACUGAGAUACGGCCCAGACUCCUACGGGAGGCAGCAGUGGGGAAUAUUGCACAAUGGGCGCAAGCCUGAUGCAGCGACGCCGCGUGAGGGAUGG